UACUCCGUGCCAGCAGCCGCGGUAAUACGGGGGAUGCAAGCGUUAUCCGGAAUCAUUGGGCGUAAAGCGCCUGUAGGUUGUUUAACAAGUCUGCUGUUAAAGACUAGGGCUUAACCCUGGGAAAGCAGUGGAAACUAGUAAACUUGAGUAUGGUAGGGGUAGAGGGAAUUUCUAGUGUAGCGGUGAAAUGCGUAGAUAUUAGAAAGAACACCGGUGGCGAAAGCGCUCUACUGGACCAUUACUGACACUCAGAGGCGAAAGCUAGGGGAGCGAAAGGGAUUAGAUACCCCUGUAGUCCUAGCCGUAAACGAUGGAUACUAGAUGUUGUGCAAAUUGUACAGUAUCGUAGCUAACGCGUUAAGUAUCCCGCCUGGGGAGUACGCUCGCAAGGGUGAAACUCAAAGGAAUUGACGGGGGCCCGCACAAGCGGUGGAGCAUGUGGUUUAAUUCGAUGCAACGCGAAGAACCUUACCAGGGCUUGACAUACUACAAAUCUUUUCGAGAUGAAAGAGUGCCUUCGGGAAUGUAGAUACAGGUGGUGCAUGGCUGUCGUCAGCUCGUGUCGUGAGAUGUUGGGUUAAGUCCCGCAACGAGCGCAACCCUCGUUUUUAGUUGCCAAUUUAUUGGGUUUUUUAGAAAGACUGCCGGUGAUAAACCGGAGGAAGGUGAGGAUGACGUCAAGUCAGCAUGCCCCUUAUGUCCUGGGCCACACACGUGCUACAAUGGUAAAGACAAAGAGUCGCAAAUCUGUGAAGACUAGCUAAUCUCAUAAACUUUGCCUAAGUUCGAAUUGUAGGCUGCA
rnacentral:rRNA from 1 species